GACGAACGCUGGCGGCGUGCUUAACACAUGCAAGUCGAGGGGGUUCGUGGGGCAACUCACGGAUCACCGGCGAACGGGUGCGUAACACGUGAGCGACCUGCCGUACCUGUGGGGGAUAGCCGGCCCAACGGCCGGGUAAUACCGCAUACGCUUGUCUUGGGGCAUCCUGGGACAAAGAAAGCUCUGGGGGCAACCCUGGGGCGCAGGACGAGGGGCUCGCGGCCUAUCAGCUAGUUGGCGGGGAACGGCCCACCAAGGCGGUGACGGGUAGCCGGUCUGAGAGGAUGGCCAGCCACAUUGGGACUGAGAGACGGCCCAGACUCCUACGGGAGGCAGCAGUGGGGAAUCUUGCGCAAUGGCCUAACGGCUGACGCAGCGACGCCGCGUGUGGGAGGACGCCUCGGU
rnacentral:rRNA from 1 species